UUACCCGCAGCAUCUCCAACCCCAAUAAUUGAGUAAUCAUCCUCCCCCUCUUUAAGAGAUGGCAAAGUUGAAGAAGUACAGUACCCCACCACUCACAACCAGUCCUAAAAGGCCCAUCAAAAAGCCAAAGAGACACCGCCACACCUCCACCAAACUCCGAAUCUAUAGUUUCUGAGGAACCAGAGGUACGCCAAGAAGCAUAACAAGAAGAGCGGUGAAACAAUCACGGAAGAAGAGUCCCCUGCUGGUGUAAUAGCUGCCAUUGGAUUUCUCCCCUUUAACUGGCGAUACAGCAGCAAGUACCAGCCCAGCAGACAGGUGCAGGUCAACUCAGCUAGCAGGCGUAGGAUGCAGGUACAAGUGAUGUUGUCAGGAUGGUUGGCGAAAUAGGCCCAUGCAGGAUUCACCAUGCAUGUGUAGAAUAAACCCUUUCCGUAAAUUGUUUGGAAAGAGACGCAAAUGGAGAAUUAGUUUGUAAAUCUAAUCAGUUGGAUUCAAUUUGUGUCAGAUGAUUUGAUGCGUUGAGUCUUAUUGACAAA